rnacentral:rRNA from 1 species
AAUCAACGCUGGCGGCGUGCCUAACACAUGCAAGUCGAACGCGACUUGGGCUUCGGCCUAAGUUGAGUGGCGAACGGGUGAGUAACACGUGGGUGACCUACCUUCGAGUGGGGGAUAACGUCCCGAAAGGGACGCUAAUACCGCAUAACAUCCUGCCUUUGAACAGGUGGAGAUCAAAGCCGGGGAUCGCAAGACCUGGCGCUUGAUGAGGGGCCCGCGUCUGAUUAGCUAGUUGGUGGGGUAAUGGCUCACCAAGGCGACGAUCAGUAUCCGGCCUGAGAGGGCGGACGGACACACUGGGACUGAGACACGGCCCAGACUCCUACGGGAGGCAGCAGUGGGGAAUUGUUCGCAAUGGGCGCAAGCCUGACGACGCAACGCCGCGUGGAGGAUGAAGGUCUUCGGAUUGUAAACUCCUGUUGCUCGGGACGAAAAGCUUCGACCUAACACGUCGAGGUCUGACGGUACCGAGUGAGGAAGCCCCGGCUAACCUCGUG